rnacentral:rRNA from 1 species
GACGAACGCUGGCGGCGUGCCUAAUACAUGCAAGUAGGACGCAGUUGCGAACGGGUGAGUAACGCGUAGGUAACUACCUAUUAGAGGGGGCUAACUAUUGGAAACGAUAGCUAAUACCGCAUACUAGUAGAUGGACCUGCGUUGUAUUAGCUAGUAGGUAGGGCAAUGGCCUACCUAGGCAACGAUACAUAGCCGACGUGAGAGGGGGAGAGGCAACACUGGGACUGAGACACGGCCCAGACUCCUAAGGGAGGCAGCAGUAGGGAAAAGGCGGCAAUGGGGGGAACACUGACAGAGCAACGCCGCGUGAGUGAAGAAGGUUUUCGGAUCGGAAAGCUCUGUUGUUAAGGAAGCGGUACUUAACCAGAAAGGGACGGCUAACUACGUGCCAGCAGCCGCGGUAAUUC